rnacentral:rRNA from 1 species
UACGUAGGGUGCAAGCGUUGUCCGGAAUUAUUGGGCGUAAAGAGCUCGUAGGCGGUCGUGUCGCGUCGGAUGUGAAAACCCAGGGGCUACAACCCUCGGGCCCUUGGCAUUCGAUACGGGCAGACUAGAGUUCGGUAGGGGAGACGUGGAAUUCCUGGUGUAGCGGUGAAAUGCGCAGAUAUCAGGAGGAACACCGGUGGCGAAGGCGGGUCUCUGGGCCGAAACUGACGCUGAGGAGCGAAAGCGUGGGGAGCAAACAGG